GCCAGUCGUUCGGGCACCUUCAGGCUCGCGGGACGGAGGCGGCUGAGUCUGUACUCAUCGGUGAGAAGAGCGCAGAACUGUGUAGGCGAAUACAGGAUGAUUUUUAGUGAGCUGGGAUGGAGAGACAUGGGACCUGCAUGGAGCAUUUGGUUUUGGAUUUCUAGAGGGAACUUCUUUAUGUCAGAGAGAAGAAUGAGAAGAGACAUUUCCCAGGAAUUUGAAGGAGCUACUCUACAG